GCCUCGGUGGUGGAUCCUGGUAGACACACCGGUCUCAGAAGCCGGCGCUCACUUUCGAGCAGGCGAGUUCGACUCUCGCCCGGGGCA
rnacentral:tRNA from 1 species